rnacentral:rRNA from 1 species
UCCAGAGGGGGCAAGCGUUGUUCGGAAUUACUGGGCGUAAAGGGCUCGUAGGCGGCCAACUAAGUCAGACAUGAAAUCCCUCGGCUUAACCGGGGAACUGCGUCUGAUACUGGAUGGCUUGAAUCCGGGAGAGGGAUGCGGAAUUCCAGGUGUAGCGGUGAAAUGCGUAGAUAUCUGGAGGAACACCGGUGGCGAAGGCGGCAUCCUGGACCGGCAUUGACGCUGAGGAGCGAAAGCCAGGGGAGCAAACGGG